AUCGCUUCUCGGCCUUUUGGCUAAGAUCAAGUGUAGGAACUGAAGAUGAGAAAAUAUAAAAGUAGAUAAGCUUGAGGUAUUUGGACUGCCACAUUCCUGAGUUUGUGAUUCCCUCUAAGAUUCUACAAUUUUUAAAGUCUUAGACUAGAG
ensembl:snRNA LOC120102114 U2 spliceosomal RNA